rnacentral:rRNA from 1 species
AUGUUGCAAAUUCAAGAAGGUAAGGAGGUGGAUGUUUCCAAUCAGAGAAAAGGAAAUUGUGGAAGAAAGCCUAAGGACAUUAACCUAGAAAAAGUCCUAACAAUCCCAUUGAACAAGAGGUCUACUAUUAGGUCACUAGCCUGGCAACUAGGAUGUAGCCCUACCACCCUACAUAGAAAGUUCAUGCUAAAUUUGAUAAGGAGGCAUACAAACUGUGUGAAGCCAGCUCUAAAGGAAAGAAUAAGAUGGACAGGAUAA